rnacentral:rRNA from 1 species
GAUCCUGGCUCAGGAUAAACGCUGGCGGCGCACAUAAGACAUGCAAGUCGAACGAACUUAACCAUUAGUUUACUAUUGGAGCGGUUAGUGGCGGACUGGUGAGUAACACGUAAGCAACCUGCCUAUCAGAGGGGAACAACAGUUAGAAAUGACUGCUAAUACCGCAUAUGCCUUGAGUAUCACAUGGUACAAAGGGAAAGGAGCAAUCCGCUGAUAGAUGGGCUUGCGUCUGAUUAGCCAGUUGGUGGGGUAACGGCCUACCAAAGCGACGAUCAGUAGCCGACCUGAGAGGGUGACCGGCCACAUUGGGACUGAGACACGGCCCAAACUCCUACGGGAGGCAGCAGUGGGGAAUAUUGCACAAUGGGGGAAACCCUGAUGCAGCGACGCCGCGUGAACGAAGAAGUAUUUCGGUAUGUAAAGUUCUAUCAGCAGGGAAGAUAAUGACGGUACCUGACUAAGAAGCACCGGCUAAAUACGUG